rnacentral:rRNA from 1 species
AGGGUUUGAUCAUGGCUCAGAUUGAACGCUGGCGGCAGGCCUAACACAUGCAAGUCGAGCGGUAGAGAGAAGCUUGCUUCUCUUGAGAGCGGCGGACGGGUGAGUAAUGCCUAGGAAUCUGCCUGGUAGUGGGGGAUAACGUUCGGAAACGGACGCUAAUACCGCAUACGUCCUACGGGAGAAAGCAGGGGACCUUCGGGCCUUGCGCUAUCAGAUGAGCCUAGGUCGGAUUAGCUAGUUGGUGAGGUAAUGGCUCACCAAGGCGACGAUCCGUAACUGGUCUGAGAGGAUGAUCAGUCACACUGGAACUGAGACACGGUCCAGACUCCUACGGGAGGCAGCAGUGGGGAAUAUUGGACAAUGGGCGAAAGCCUGAUCCAGCCAUGCCGCGUGUGUGAAGAAGGUCUUCGGAUUGUAAAGCACUUUAAGUUGGGAGGAAGGGUUGUAGAUUAAUACUCUGCAAUUUUGACGUUACCGACAGAAUAAGCACCGGCUAACUCUGUGCCAGCAGCCGCGGUAAUACAGAGGGUGCAAGCGUUAAUCGGAAUUACUGGGCGUAAAGCGCGCGUAGGUGGUUUGUUAAGUUGGAUGUGAAAUCCCCGGGCUCAACCUGGGAACUGCAUUCAAAACUGGCUGACUAGAGUAUGGUAGAGGGUGGUGGAAUUUCCUGUGUAGCGGUGAAAUGCGCAGAUAUAGGAAGGAACACCAGUGGCGAAGGCGACCACCUGGACUAAUACUGACACUGAGGUGCGAAAGCGUGGGGAGCAAACAGGAUUAGAUACCCUGGUAGUCCACGCCGUAAACGAUGUCAACUAGCCGUUGGAAGCCUUGAGCUUUUAGUGGCGCAGCUAACGCAUUAAGUUGACCGCCUGGGGAGUACGGCCGCAAGGUUAAAACUCAAAUGAAUUGACGGGGGGUCGA